rnacentral:rRNA from 1 species
GAUGAACGCUGGCGGCGUGCCUAAUACAUGCAAGUCGAGCGAACGGACGAGAAGCUUGCUUCUCUGAUGUUAGCGGCGGACGGGUGAGUAACACGUGGAUAACCUACCUAUAAGACUGGGAUAACUUCGGGAAACCGUAGCUAAUACCGGAUAAUAUUUUGAACCGCAUGGUUCAAAAGUGAAAGACGGUCUUGCUGUCACUUAUAGAUGGAUCCGCGCUGCAUUAGCUAGUUGGUAAGGUAACGGCUUACCAAGGCAACGAUGCAUAGCCGACCUGAGAGGGUGAUCGGCCACACUGGAACUGAGACACGGUCCAGACCCCUACGGGAGGCAGCAGUAGGGAAUCUUCCGCAAUGGGCGAAAGCCUGACGGAGCAACGCCGCGUGAGUGAUGAAGGUCUUCGGAUCGUAAAACUCUGUUAUUAGGGAAGAACAUAUGUGUAAGUAACUGUGCACAUCUUGACGGUACCUAAUCAGAAAGCCACGGCUAACUACGU